rnacentral:rRNA from 1 species
AUUGAACGCUGGCGGCAGGCCUAACACAUGCAAGUCGAGCGGAUGAAGGGAGCUUGCUCCUGGAUUCAGCGGCGGACGGGUGAGUAAUGCCUAGGAAUCUGCCUGGUAGUGGGGGAUAACGUCCGGAAACGGGCGCUAAUACCGCAUACGUCCUGAGGGAGAAAGUGGGGGAUCUUCGGACCUCACGCUAUCAGAUGAGCCUAGGUCGGAUUAGCUAGUUGGUGGGGUAAAGGCCGACCAAGGCGCCGAUCCGUAACUGGUCUGAGAGGAUGAUCAGUCACACUGGAACUGAGACACGGUCCAGACUCCUACGGGAGGCAGCAGUGGGGAAUAUUGGACAAUGGGCGAAAGCCUGAUCCAGCCAUGCCGCGUGUGUGAAGAAGGUCUUCGGAUUGUAAAGCACUUUAAGUGGGGAGGAAGGGCAGUAAGUUAAUACCUUGCUGUUUUGACGGUACCAACAGAAUAAGCACCGGCUAACUUCGUG